ACGGGUGAGUAACACGUGAGCAAUCUGCCCUCCACUUUGGGAUAACUCCCGGAAACGGGUGCUAAUACCGGAUACGACCGCGCCUCGCAUGGGGUGUGGUGGAAAGUUCUGGCGGUGGAGGAUGAGCUCGCGGCCUAUCAGCUUGUUGGUGGGGUAAUGGCCUACCAAGGCUUCGACGGGUAGCCGGCCUGAGAGGGUGACCGGCCACACUGGGACUGAGACGCGGCCCAGACUCCUACGGGAGGCAGCAGUGGGGAAUAUUGGACAAUGGGCGAAAGCCUGAUCCAGCAACGCCGCGUGAGGGAUGGCGGCCUUCGGGUUGUAAACCUCUUUCAGCACAGACGAAGCGAAAGUGACGGUAUGUGCAGAAGAAGCACCGGCCAACUACGUGCCAGCAGCCGCGGUAAUACGUAGGGUGCGAGCGUUGUCCGGAAUUAUUGGGCGUAAAGGGCUCGUAGGCGGUUUGUUGCGUCAGGAGUGAAAACUCGGGGCUUAACCCCGAGCCUGCUUCUGAUACGGGCAGACUUGAGGUAUGCAGGGGAGAACGGAAUUCCUGGU
rnacentral:rRNA from 1 species